rnacentral:rRNA from 1 species
CCUGGCUCAGAUUGAACGCUGGCGGCAUGCCUAACACAUGCAAGUCGAACGGCAGCACGGUCUAGUUUACUAGAUGGGUGGCGAGUGGCGGACGGGUGAGUAAUGCGCAGGAAAAUGCCUUAAAGCGGGGGACAACUUGGGGAAACUCAAGCUAAUACCGCGUAAUCUCUUCAGAGAAAAGCUGGGGACCUUCGGGCCUGGCGCUUUAAGAUUAGCCU